rnacentral:rRNA from 1 species
UACGAGGGGGGCAAGCGUUGUUCGGAAUUAUUGGGCGUAAAGGGCGCGUAGGCGGCCUGCUAAGUCGAACGUGAAAUCCCUGGGCUCAACCCAGGAACUGCGUCCGAUACUGGUUGGCUUGAAUCCGGGAGAGGGAUGUGGAAUUCCAGGUGUAGCGGUGAAAUGCGUAGAUAUCUGGAGGAACACCGGUGGCGAAGGCGACAUCCUGGACCGGUAUUGACGCUGAGGCGCGAAAGCCAGGGGAGCAAACGGG